rnacentral:rRNA from 1 species
GACGAACGCUGGCGGCGUGCUUAACACAUGCAAGUCGAACGGAAAGGCCCUGCUUUUGUGGGGUGCUCGAGUGGCGAACGGGUGAGUAACACGUGAGUAACCUGCCCUUGACUUUGGGAUAACUUCAGGAAACUGGGGCUAAUACCGGAUAGGAGCUCCUGCUGCAUGGUGGGGGUUGGAAAGUUUCGGCGGUUGGGGAUGGUCUCGCGGCUUAUCAGCUUGUUGGUGGGGUAGUGGCUUACCAAGGCUUUGACGGGUAGCCGGCCUGAGAGGGUGACCGGCCACAUUGGGACUGAGAGACGGCGCAGACUCCUACGGGAGGCAGCAGUGGGGAAUAUUGCACAAUGGGCGGAAGCCUGAUGCAGCAACGCCGCGUGCGUGAUGACGGCCUUCGGGUUGUAAACCGCUUUCGCCUGUGACGAAGCGUGAGUGACGGUAAUGGGUAAAGAAGCACCGGCUAACUACGUG